rnacentral:lncRNA from 1 species
UUGCUCAGGUGUAGAUGUGUCUAACAUCCUCGGGGAGGCUCAUCACAGGAAUAUCCCAUGACAUGACCAUACUCCUGUAUUGAAUCAGCACUAAAAUGGGCUCUGACACCAAGGACACGCCGCUUCCCACCCCUCACACACCCCUUGGGGCCGCAGCAGGCCCAAGCCCCUCAGGGUAGCUCAGAGUAAGGUGAGGGUCCAGGGACCGGCCCUUGGCUGCUCCCCAGGGAUGGAGAAAAGGGUUGGGAACACCCCAAAGCAGACCCUGGCACCACGGGGAGAGCCACCCUGCCAUCUCCUUAGGGCCUGGCAAUGCCGGGGGCGGGAAGAAGGGACACCCCCCCCCGCUCAGUGCCUGACAGGAGAGGGACCGCCAUCUCCACAGAGCCUGCAAACACCGUGGGAGGGCUGGGACCCGAAGAAGGGACUUUCCCCUUCGCUCAGCGCCUGAGGGGAGAGGCGCUGCCAUCUCCUCAGCGCCGGGAAACGCCACGACCGCUGAGCUUUGGGACUAGAGGGGGAACAUAAACCCUACAGGAGCCUUCCCCCGGCCCCAGGGCCUGAUGGAAAGGACAGACUGAGGGGGAAAAAAACAGGGGGGAGAGCCCGGGGCUGCUCGUGCUGAGGCGCGGGCAUGGCGCCUCCAUCCCCCGCUCUCCUCAGGGACGGCGCCGCCCCGAGCGGUCGACGAGGCGGGGAAGGAGCCGGGGCCGGGGGGGGGGGGAGAUGGGGCAGCGGCCCCGGCUACCGCGGCAACAGGCGGCCACCGCCGGCCCGGUGCCGCUCCCCUCAGCGCGGUGGGCGGCCAAAGGGCGACCCCCGCAGCGCUCCUCGCUCCUACCCAGCCACCCGCACCCCCCUCACUCACCCCCGGGCGCGUUUCUCCCCGGGAAAUGGCCUCCACAGCUCGCCCAGAAAUUUUGAAAGCAAAACUUGGACCGGUUGUGAUGUUUGA